rnacentral:lncRNA from 1 species
CCUCACACCGUCUCACUAGGGGCGCUCUCCCCGUUUCACCAGUGACUUGGUGACAACCAGCCUUGCUCACGAAGCGUCAGCCGUAUCCUUUCUGUGUGCAGUGGGGUGUGGGUUGUGUGGAGCCGCGGUGUCUGUGGAAUUCACAGGCUGGGGCCGGAAUCCAUGGCCCCCGUCGCCGCUGCCACCCCCCAGAUCCAUUAUUUAUUCUUCUCCAUCUUGUUCUGUGUUCCUGGAAGCCAACCUUUAUAAGCUGCAGGAAAUGGAUUUCCUACUCUCCACCUUCUGAUUGGGCUUGACCAACGGGGAGCACUGGCAGAAGACAAGCAUGGGAGGAAAAAGAGAUCAGGGUAUUCAUUUCCCCAGAUCCCUCCCUGUCCUCUACUUAAAGGUCAUAAGUCCAUCCAGGUGUCAUCUCUUAUGUAGGAUUCUAGCGACAUCUUCUCCCCUUGUUCCUUUAGGCUUAGGAGUAAUAACACUUUUCUGUUCUUGCUAGUCCUGAGGAUAAGUGUUUUGUCACCUCUUGUUGAUUUCCCUGACUUCAAAUACCAAACACUAUUUUUUUGCUAUUUUUGAACUUUAUGUAAGUAGAAUCAUACAGUAUAUAUUUUGGGGGGUAAGGUUUUUUUUGUUUUGUUUUACUCAAUAAUAGGUUUGUGAGCAUCAUCCAUGCUAUUGCAUAAAACAGUAGUUUGUUUUCAUUGCUGCAUAGUAUUUUUCACUUAUACAUUGUACUAUUAAUAAAUAUUUGAGGGUUUUUUUUCCCAAAAGUGCAUAUGUGUCU